rnacentral:rRNA from 1 species
CGUAUCACUUAAAACGAUUCAGAAGCUUACGAUUGACGGAGCGAAGCGAGGUCAAAGCGUAUACAAAGUCGAGUCGGUUUAAGGAUACGUUCGUUGGGUAGGGGAGCGUUCUGUAAGCCGUUGAAGGUGUCCUGUGAGGGGUGCUGGAGGUAUCAGAAGUGCGAAUGCUGACAUAAGUAACGAUAAAGCGGGUGAAAAGCCCGCUCGCCGGAAGACCAAGGGUUCCUGUCCAACGUUAAUCGGGGCAGGGUGAGUCGACCCCUAAGGCGAGGCCGAAAGGCGUAGUCGAUGGGAAACGGGUUAAUAUUCCCGUACUUGGUGUUACUGCGAAGGGGGGACGGAGAAGGCUAUGUUGGCCGGGCGACGGUAGUCCCGGUUUAAGCGUGUAGGUGUGUGUUCCAGGCAAAUCCGGUUCACUUUAACACUGAGGCGUGACGACGAGGCACCACGGUGCUGAAGCAACAAAUGCCCUGCUUCCAGGAAAAGCCUCUAAGCAUCAGGUAACAUCAAAUCGUACCCCAAACCGACACAGGUGGUCAGGUAGAGAAUACCAAGGCGCUUGAGAGAACUCGGGUGAAGGAACUAGGCAAAAUGGUGCCGUAACUUCGGGAGAAGGCACGCUGACACGUAGGUGAAGUGAUUUACUCAUGGAGCUGAAGUCAGUCGAAGAUACCAGCUGGCUGCAACUGUUUAUUAAAAACACAGCACUGUGCAAACACGAAAGUGGACGUAUACGGUGUGACGCCUGCCCGGUGCCGGAAGGUUAAUUGAUGGGGUCAGCGCAAGCGAAGCUCCUGAUCGAAGCCCCGGUAAACGGCGGCCGUAACUAUAACGGUCCUAAGGUAGCGAAAUUCCUUGUCGGGUAAGUUCCGACCUGCACGAAUGGCGUAAUGAUGGCCAGGCUGUCUCCACCCGAGACUCAGUGAAAUUGAACUCGCUGUGAAGAUGCAGUGUACCCGCGGCAAGACGGAAAGACCCCGUGAACCUUUACUAUAGCUUGACACUGAACAUUGAGCCUUGAUGUGUAGGAUAGGUGGGAGGCUUUGAAGCGUGGACGCCAGUCUGCGUGGAGCCGACCUUGAAAUACCACCCUUUAAUGUUUGAUGUUCUAACGUGGACCCGUAAUCCGGGUUGCGGACAGUGUCUGGUGGGUAGUUUGACUGGGGCGGUCUCCUCCUAAAGAGUAACGGAGGAGCACGAAGGUUGGCUAAUCCUGGUCGGACAUCAGGAGGUUAGUGCAAUGGCAUAAGCCAGCUUGACUGCGAGCGUGACGGCGCGAGCAGGUGCGAAAGCAGGUCAUAGUGAUCCGGUGGUUCUGAAUGGAAGGGCCAUCGCUCAACGGAUAAAAGGUACUCCGGGGAUAACAGGCUGAUACCGCCCAAGAGUUCAUAUCGACGGCGGUGUUUGGCACCUCGAUGUCGGCUCAUCACAUCCUGGGGCUGAAGUAGGUCCCAAGGGUAUGGCUGUUCGCCAUUUAAAGUGGUACGCGAGCUGGGUUUAGAACGUCGUGAGACAGUUCGGUCCCUAUCUGCCGUGGGCGCUGGAAGACUGAGGGGGGCUGCUCCUAGUACGAGAGGACCGGAGUGGACGCAUCACUGGUGUUCGGGUUGUCAUGCCAAUGGCACUGCCCGGUAGCUAAAUGCGGAAAAGAUAAGUGCUGAAAGCAUCUAAGCACGAAACUUGCCC